GUGUGUAGCUCAGUGGUAGAGUACCUGCCUAGCAUGUGUGAGGCCCUGGGUUUGACCCCCAGUAACACA
rnacentral:tRNA from 1 species